rnacentral:lncRNA from 1 species
CCUCCCCAGGUUUCCCCGGGGCCCAUGCUAGAGGCAGCAGUGCGAGGACGGGAGCAGAGUGGGCUGAAGCUUACUCCUCCAUAGGAAGUCCAGAACUGUUUCCACUGACUUCUCCAGGACGAACCUGGAGAAGUCUGAAUGUCUUUGUUCACUCUUAAAUCCUCCCAAUUCCUUCCUUCUAUCAUUUCAAGCCUUGGCUACACAUACUUAUGAAACAAAUUUAACACUCAGGAGGAAAACAAGCAACAAGUUAAGGCAUGUAAGACAUAUAAGAACCUACACUCAGAGAUAGGUGUAGGGUCCAGGCAAUCCUUGUUUACUCCUUUACUCUUUCUGUCCUCGGGCUGGUUGUUCCAUCAGAUCCUGUCUUGGGCAUCUUCUCUCUUCAGUGUUCUCAUUCUCCCCAGGCAAUCUCAUUCUUCAGCGUGACAGUGAUCGCCACCUAGCUUGUCGAUGACUCUGAAAUCUCUUACCUCAAACCCCAGCAUCCACCUGUCCACUAGCCACCUCUAUCUGGAAACCACUCAGGGCACAGUGAGUGCUCAAUAAGUCAUUGUUGAAUGAAUACACUGCUUAAACCCUAAAAGCUGGCAGUUCAGGCAGAGAGAUAAGCUUCUGAUUUGUUGGGUUUUUAUACUCCCCUUUUAUUGUUGUUGCUCUGUGAGGCAGUUUGGAGUGGCAGAAAGAUCACAAGCUUUAGAACUACAAUCGUAUUUGGAUCCCGACCAUGCUCUACAGUCUGUAUCUAUUUAUCUAUCUGAAGACUACAAGUCAAACUCUGAGAUGAAGGCAGGUGGACAAUGCGUACACUUGGGGACAAGGUGAACACACAGAAGCAAUGGCAGAAGAAUGGGGAGAGUGACAUCUCCGUCACGGAGUCUUCAGAAUGGGAUGGCGUGGCUUUUUAUCUAUCCAGCUAAACUCAGAGGCUGGCUCCGCCAUCUUUGACUUUCUGUUCCUUGGGUUCUAGCGUGAGGAAAUGGAUUUGGAGGGGACUACUCUUUAUUAUUGAGAGACUUUAUUUUGGGGAGCUCUAAAAUCACUGCAGAUGGUGACUGC